rnacentral:tRNA from 1 species
UCCCGAAUAGUGUAGUGGCAGCACACCGGAUUUUGGUUCCGGUAACCUAGGUUCGAAUCCUAGUUCGGGAG